UACGAAGGGGGCUAGCGUUGCUCGGAAUCACUGGGCGUAAAGCGCACGUAGGCGGCUUUCUAAGUCAGGGGUGAAAUCCUGGAGCUCAACUCCAGAACUGCCUUUGAUACUGGGGAGCUCGAGUCCGGAAGAGGUGAGUGGAACUCCGAGUGUAGAGGUGAAAUUCGUAGAUAUUAGGAAGAACACCGGUGGCGAAGGCGGCCCACUGGUCCGGUACUGACGCUGAGGUGCGAAAGCGUGGGGAGCAAACAGG
rnacentral:rRNA from 1 species